UACGUAGGUGACCAGCGUUGUCCGGAUUUACUGGGCGUAAAGAGCGCGCAGGCGGUCGAUCAAGUCGAGUGUGAAAGCCCCCGGCUCAACUGGGGAGGGUCAUUCGAUACUGAUCGACUCGAAGGCAGGAGAGGGUAGUGGAAUUCCCGGUGUAGUGGUGAAAUGCGUAGAUAUCUGGAGGAACACCGGUGGCGAAGGCGACAUCCUGGACCGGUAUUGACGCUGAGGCGCGAAAGCCAGGGGAGCAAACGGG
rnacentral:rRNA from 1 species